GUUGGUUCGACCCGAAGCCGGUGCGCUAACCGCAAGGAGGCAGCCGACCACGGUCGGGUCAGCGACUGGGGUGAAGUCGUAGCAAGGUAGCCGUAGGUGAACCUGCAGAAGGAUCA
rnacentral:rRNA from 1 species